AAAGAGCAAGAAAAUACCGUGUCACACUUGGCCAAGGUGGACAGAUCUUGGCCCUAUCCUGGAACAAAGGUCAAAGGCAACACGAACUUGCUGCCAGAGCUUCCACCUGUCCACAGUAGUGCUGCUCUGUGAAGUGAUGAGUUUGCCCCCAAAAAGACCAAGCAGAGUGAAUGAGGAUCUGCCCAAACCCAAGCUUGGGAGGCUCAUCGCCUUCCUUUGCAGGAGGUGUGCUUGAAGGAAAAGGAAUUACGAGUUGACUCUUAGAAACCCUGCGUUACAUAAUACAAUAUACCUACGCACUGCUGCCUCACACAUGGCUUUAAGUAGCCACUAAUUACCCACAUUUGAUGAGGAAAUUGUGGCUGAGACUCUGGGGGGAGUCACCUGAGUUUACAAGGUACCCAGGGGUGGGAUCUCAGACUUUGAGCCACUUCUACCUCCACACCAUACCACACAGAGGCUUUCUUUGCAGCAUCCAACUAAAUGUUCACUUUGUAUCCAGUGCCAAGGCAGGACAGCAUGGGAAAUGCCAGGUAGACAAUGAGGAGGUGAGGUGACCUAGAGAACUGAGCAAUGGUUGCUCGCACACUGGUUCUAGGCACAGACACCAGGCAAAGCAAGGUCACAUGUUUAGAAUAUGUCAGAAAACCAAGGACUCAGCAGGAGCCUCCCUCUGCAGAGGUCAAUGUCACCACUAAAGGCAUGCACCACACUGGCCAGCUAUUUCAUUUUCAGAGCCCAGAAUCUUGAAUUCAGUCUUGGUGUAAGGAUUCCCAAACAGAAAAGGUAAGGCGAGGCUGGCAACAGCAGAGUGACAGUGCUUAGAAAGGAGGCCACACUGGACCAGAGUGGACCACAUGGUGGACGAAGACAAAGUCUCACCCAUGUAGAGAAACAGUGAAGAAGCAAAGUGACAGUGUUGAGUAAUGAGAGCCAGCAGACUAAGCAAGCAAGGAAUGUCACACUGUGGUUAUUUAUCAUAAGGAUGUCACACUGUGGUCAUUUAUUAUAAGGAUGUCACACUGUGGUCAUUUAUUAUAAGGAGGGCAGGGAACCAAAAUAUUUGGAAACAGCCUUUAAAGGGUUAGUCAGUCCUCUUGGAAAGGAAUGUGGCCAAUUCAUCUUGCAGAUUGAGGGCUGAGCUCAGGACCUCCUCUGUGGCUCAGAUCUUGUGGUCCACAGAUGCCGGUGGGCCAAAGGACAGAUGGAUGGGAUAGGGCAGUGGCUGCUGCAGGGAGCUUACAGACAGGAGUCAGACAACGGACCACACACACCUCACCUGGCCAGGAGAACUCUGGGGAAUGGGGAUCUUAGCAGGAAAAUGAUUUGGGAUUAAAGAUGAUGGUCUUCAAUUCCUAGACAAAGCAGAUGCAGGAGGUAGGGAGAGGAGACAGGCAGCCCAGACAGGAGCAGAGACAAGAACCACACAGUAUGCGGAGAGCUGCAGGCCACCCAAAGUAGGGGCAAUGUGUCUGGGGUAGCACAUGUUAUUCAGAGGUUGUAAGAAGGGGGAUAAAAGAAAUACAUUUUAGGUAUUGUAAUGAUAGCCCCCUCCCCCACUGUUGUUUUUAACACUGUGGGUUCAAAUUAACCUGUGGUUAACCAAAACCCUGUUUUCUUUCCCAUUUGAACAGGUUUUUGUUUUUUGUUUUUUGUUUGUUCUUUCACUGCUGUGACUAGUGAGCCUGAGUGGAAGAAGACAUUUCCUUUUACCAUCUAUAUUGCCAGUGCGGGAGGAGGAGUGAGACCUUGACUAGGUAGCUGGUACCACUGCUGCGAUCUAGCUGUUCAGCUACCCUGCUCAGGCCCAAUAUGGUGGCUUUACAGUUUCUGUCAGGCAAAACAGCCAAGCCAUUCUGGUUUGAAGGUUUGUUUCAUCUUGUCAUCAAGCCCAUGUGACUCAGGGGCUUCCCAGGAGGUAGGACAUUUCCUAUGGAAACUGGAACAAUCGAGACACACCAGCGUGAGGUGUCACCCUAAUGGCAGCUUGUGCUUUAGAAAUGUGACCUUUCACUCAGAGGACACACCUGAUACACACUGGUGGGCGGGUCCUCACUCCCAGUUGUUCCCCUCCAGCUCCUUUCUUCCAGGGGGCUGAUGGCCUACUCUCCCUCUCCACCUAGGCCACUACUCUCAGCUCCCAGCAGAGCUGGCUUCUGUUCCCGAGGCUGCAUGGAACACCCCCAGUCCCCAGAAUCACUCAGCUACACCUGAAGACUCGAAUGCUGCUGUCUUGCUUUGAAACCUGCCCUGACUGACUCCUGGUCCUUUGUGACCGACAGUUCUGGCGAUUCUGUUUUUAAGCCUCCUACAUAGUUUUGAGUGGACUACAUUUCUCUUUUAUCAGGUUAUUAGCUGGGGCCAAGGGAAUGCUUGAAGUGUCUAGGAGCCUCUGCAAUCAUUUGUAAAGGGAACUGUGUGAACUAUGCCUUGGCUGUGCCCUCAAAUGUCCCUUUUCAAGCUGAUUUUAAAGCUUACCUUAAAUCUUAUUGUUUCUGGCUCCUUCUCUCACUCCAAACACAUAGCUCUCGAGACUGUCUGCAUUGUAAGAACUAGCAAGGUACUUAUCACAAAACAAGUCCCCAGAUGAUCUUAUGUGGAUCUCCUUGGUGAGAAUUUCAGGUGGGCCUUCACCUCUACAUGAUUAUAGAUUCUGGUGCCAACAGUCCUAGAAGGGCUCUCCUCAUGGUUCUCACCAUGGCCAAGGUUCACGGUGAUUACUGGUAUGUCCAGAGACCCCGGGUAAUGAAGUUCUCAUCCUGACACUAUAUUUCAGACUACUGGCUACACUUCAGGUAUGUCAAAAUCAACAGGCUCAAACAAAACCUUUACAAUGUUUCCUACAAUAGGAAGUGCCAGCCAUCCCUCCUCCAGGCUGUGCUUGAUUUGUGAGUCGUUUCAGAUGCUCGUCUCUUCAAGACCUGCCCUCUGUGGCCACUAGGCCAGCUGUUCUAUUUCUUAAACAUAUUGUAGGUCUCCUGCUCUCCGCCCUCCUGGCUUGCUGGUGUUUGAAGCCAUCAUCAUCUACACCUCAUCUACAACAUCGUAAUAGCUUCCUGGCUACUUUCCUAUCUCUGGGUUCCAGUCUCUGGAGUCUCAAUGUACCUCUGAUGAGGUCAGAGGAAGAACUUCCAAGGCAGGUGGGCCUGCCUCUUCAAGCCUCACUGGGACCUGACUACUCCACAGAGGCUUUUAUGACCUCAGACAAAGUGCUUGUCUGUGGCUUGAUCUUAACUGUUGCUCUCCUUCCUUUCCUCACUUCCCUGGUGCUUUACCUGGGGGAUUAAGAUGUAUGCCUUGUCAGCAUGGAAGGCACGGCCUGGGCUCCUGGGAGACCCUCAGAACUCUUCAAUUCCAUCCUCCAAACAAGUCCUCAGCUGGGUCCCUCCCCGAUGUAGUCUGGUGGAAAUAUGGCUCCUAACAGCUGCCACAGCAGCACCCACCCACGUGUUUAUACUGCUCCUGCACCUGUGGCAUCCCACCCAAGAGGAAGGGCAAAGGAAGAGCCUGUCACCACAGCAGAACCAGAAGAAAGCUCUAGUCCCGUUCUGCGACUAGCCUGCAGGACAUGGCCAGGUUCUGGCCCUGCGUAGGUUUGUUUCCUCACCUGCCAUCAAUUUCUAGCUUACUGAACAUGGCGUUAAUUAAAUAGCAUUUUAACCUA
rnacentral:sRNA from 1 species